CCCUUAGAUGUUCUGGGCCGCACGCGCGCUACACUGACACGUUCAUCAAGUCUAUAACCUUGACCGAGAGGUCUGGGUAAUCUUUUAAAAACGUGUCGUGCUGGGGAUAGAUUAUUGCAAUUAUUAAUCUUCAACGAGGAAUGCCUAGUAAGCGCAAGUCAUCAGCUUGCGUUGAUUACGUCCCUGCCCUUUGUACACACCGCCCGUCGCUCCUACCGAUUGAAUGGUCCGGUGAAGCGUUUGGACUAUGGUUUUCUGAUGGUCCGCCGUUGGAUUACCGUGGGAAGUUCGUUAAACCUUAUCAUUUAGAGGAAGGAGAAGUCGUAACA
rnacentral:rRNA from 1 species